CCAGCAAAACCCCAAGCCCAUCCACGGCGCCUUCUUUCAUCCCCGCCCGGUCUCGGCUGCCCGCUGCCCCCUACGCCGCCGUGCCAUCUUAAGCCAUGCGUGUCGCCGCGGCGGCGGCGGCGGGGACCCUCCGCCCCACGGCGGCCACCCUCCUCUUCUCCCCGCCGCACCAGCACCUCCGCCCCCUAUCGCUCCACCGCCGCGUCACCCAGCACCUCCCCUUCGCCCGCCGGCGCCGCGACUCCUACUCCACCGCCACGGUAGCCGCCCAGCAGGAGGACUCCGGCGGUGCCGGAGGCGAAGCCGAGGGCAAGGCCUCCCGCCGCCGCCGCGCCCGCGAGUCCCCCGAGGGUAACCUCCGCCACCAGCUCGACAUGUGCUCCCGCAACGCCGACCUCACCACCGCCCUCCGCCUCUACGACGCCGCCCUCUCCCCGGAUUCCCCCGUACCGCUGUCCCUCCACCACUACAACUGCCUGCUCUACCUAUGCUCCAACGCCGCCGCCUCCGACCCCGACAGCUCCGCCGACGCCGACCAGCGCGGCUUCAACAUCUUCGCCAGGAUGGAGGCCGACGGCGUCCAGCCCAACGAGGCCGCCCUCACCAGCGUCGCGCGCCUCGCCGCCGCCACGCGCGACCCCGCCAUGGACUUUGCGAAUUCCCUCACCGAACUGGCCAUCAAGCGUGAGGCCAGGGAUGAUUUCCUCGGCUUUCAGAGCUGGCUAAGUCGCCAUGGACCAUUUGAUGCUGUUAUAGAUGCUGCUAAUGUAGGCCUUUACAAUAGUAAAGCUUUCAGUUUUUCUCAGGUGAACUCUGUUGUAAAUGCUAUUCAGAGAAUAACUAAAUCAAACAAAUUGCCACUGAUAAUUUUGCACUGGAACCGUGUAAAUGGCGGUAAUGCAAAAGCUCCAUACAACCAGAAGAUUCUAGAGAGUUGGAGGAAAGCUGGAGCUUUGUAUGCUACCCCUCCUGGUUCCAAUGAUGAUUGGUAUUGGCUGUAUGCGGCUGUCAGUUGCCGAUCGUUGCUUGUUACAAAUGACGAGAUGCGAGACCACUUGUUUCAACUACUUGGCACUAGUUUCUUUCCCAGGUGGAAAGAGAAACAUCAGGUCAGACUAACCUUCUCAGGGCGUGGCCCUACUCUUCAUUUGCCGCCUCCUUAUUCAAUUGUUAUUCAGGAUUCUGAAGAUGGAAGCUGGCAUGUACCAACGACAACUGGCGAUGAUAUUGAAAAGCCGCGGCAGUGGAUCUGCUCUAAAAGAAAAUCUUGGGGUGCCCAUGCUCACCAGGUGCUCGGCGGAACGCACGCCUUGGGGUUCUGCAGCGUGGCUCGGUGUUCUGCGGAUGACCAAGCUGACGCAGAGCCACCACGGUUCACAGUGGUACCGGGCGACACUGCAGUGGAUGGUCCAGGCACAGGUGCGGGUGUGGGCGUGUCAGAGGCUGCCGAGAGGGUGUGCCGCGUCGUGUCAACCCAGCCAGAAUUGGGGAUUGCGUCAGCGCUUGAUGCGCUCCGGGUGGCUGUGUCGCCAGAGCUUGUGGCCGAGGUGCUAAAAAACCUGAGCAAUGCCGGCAUGCUAGCACUUGCCUUCUUCAGGUGGGCAGAGAGGCAGGAGGGGUUCAGGUACACAGCCGAGAGCUUCCACAAUCUGAUCGAAGCACUUGGCAAGAUCAAGCAGUUCAGGUUGGUGUGGAGCUUGGUGGAGACCAUGCGUUGCAGGUGCUUGCUCUCUAAGGACACGUUCAAGCUUAUUGUCCGGAGGUAUGCCCGGGCGAGGAAGGUCAAGGAGGCUGUGGAGACAUUCGAGAAGAUGAGCAGUUUUGGGCUCAAAACUGAGUUAUCGGAUUACAACUGGUUGAUUGACACAUUAAGCAAAUCCAAACAAGUGAAGAAGGGACACGCCGUCUACAACGAGAUGAAGAGGAAGGGCAGGUUUGUUCCUGAUUUGAAGACCUAUACAGUCCUCAUGGAAGGCUGGGGCCAUGAGAAAGAUCUGUUGAUGGUCAAAACAGUGUACCAAGAAAUGCUGGAUGCAGGCAUUAGGCCUGAUGUUGUGGCGUAUGGAAUGCUGAUCAGUGCCUUUUGCAAGUCUGGCAAAUGUGAUGAGGCCGUCAAGGUGUUCCACGAGAUGGAAGUGAGUGGUUGCAUGCCGAGCCCUCAUGUGUACUGCAUGCUUAUCAAUGGACUUGGUUCGGAGGAGAGACUGGAUGAAGCUUUGAAGUACUUUGAGCUUUAUAAGGAAAGUGGGUUCCCCAUGGAGGUGCCUACAUGCAAUGCGGUUGUUGGAGCUUACUGUAGAGCCUCAAAGUUUCAGCAUGCUUUCAAGAUGGUUGAUGAGAUGAGGAAGUGUAAAAUUGGACCCAAUUCCCGGACUUAUGAUAUAAUUCUUCAUCAUCUUAUAAAAUCGCAGAAAUUCGAAGAGGCAUAUGAUGUAUUCCAUAGGAUGGGGUCGGACAGCUGUGAGCCUCAGCUCAAUACAUAUACAAUGAUGGUUGGCAUGUUCUGCAGUAAUGGAAGAGUUGAUAUGGCAUUAAAGGUGUGGAAGCAAAUGAAGGAGAAAGGUGUCCUCCCAUGUAUGCAUAUGUUUUCGGCAUUGAUCAAUGGGUUAUGCUUUGAGAACAGGCUCGAAGAAGCUUGUAUAUAUUUCCAAGAGAUGUUGGACAAAGGAAUAAGGCCACCUGGUCAGCUGUUUAGUAAUUUGAAGGAAGCUCUUGUUGAAGGAGGAAGAAUUAGUUUGGCACAAGAGAUGGCUUUGAAGUUAGAUACAUUAAGGAAAACCCCUUUGCAUGGUUGAGGAAUUCUUUUUGUUCUUAAAAUGUCUGAAGCGAUUAGAUCAUUUCACAAUUACACACUAUUUGGGCUUGCAGUAUACAUUUGUAGCCCUAGCAAUUGGUGGAAGCAUUAGCAAUUCUAUCAAGGUUGUGAAGCAUGCAACCAAAUUUUGGGUUUGUGAUGUUGUGAAGGAUUGGCUCUCUAGAGAUUCUUGAUGGGGGCAAAGGAACUUCAGGCUAAGAUUAAGGAAAAGUAGAAGUGUCAUACAAGAGGGUGUAUGCAGGUAAAGAACUAGCACAUAAUCAAUUAUUUGGUGAUUGGGACAGAAGCUUCGAUAGCUUGUAUAGGUUUAAGGCAGAGGUGGAAAGGUCAUGCCCUGGUAGUGUUGUAGUAAUUGAUCAUCACACAAUUCAAGAAAAGAUUAGAUUCAACAGGAUGUUUUUUGCUUUGAAACCCUGCAUAGAUGGUUUCCUGAGGGGAUGCCGACCAUAUUUGGCAAUAUAUAGCACUUUUUUGACAGGAAGUUUAGAGGACAGCUAGCAUGUGCAUGUACAGUAGAUGGACACAACUGGAUGUAUCCAGUUGCUUUUGGAGUGUUUGAUGCUGAGACAAAUGAUAAUUGGAUCUGGUUUAUGACAAGGUUGAGAGAAGCAAUAGGAACACCUUAUGGUCUAGCCAUUUGUACAGAUGUUGGGCAAGCUGUUUGAUGACCACCAAUGGUUAGCAGCUUACUCUUGGUCUCCUUAUUUUUUUCGACAAUCAUUGCAAAGCAAUGGAUGAAGCUAGACCAGAUGCAAUGGAUUACCUAAGACGAUGCCAUAGUAAGAUAUGGACAAGAAGCCAAUUCUUAACUCACUGCAAGGUGGAUUAUGUCACCAACAACCUAGUAGAGAGUUUCAAUAAUUGGGUAAAAAGUUGGAAAGGCUUGAAUUUGGAUGAUUUCAUGGAUAAGAUCAGACAUCUUCUUAUGAAGAAGUGGUAUACAAGGAGGACAGUAUCUAGAAAGAUGGGAGGACUUAUUUUGCCACAUAUCAUGAAGAAGUUGAAGGAACAGAGCUUCAAUUUGGAUACGGAUGUGUUUGCAAGCUCAGAUGAAGUUGCAGAAGUGUGUGUGAAGGGGAGCAAUGGCUACAAGUGUGUGGUGAACCUCCAAGAAAAAAACCAUUCUUGAAGAAAAUUUGAAGUUUCAGGCAUUCAAUGUUUACAUGCCAUUGCAUUUAUCACUAAGAUGGGUCAGCCUUUGGAGAAUUAUGUUGACUCAUAUUAUACAGUAGAGAAAUUUAGAGUAGCAUAGGAAAAUCUCAUCCCUGUCCUUACUGACAAGGCUCAAUGGCAGCAAUCAGAUCAUGGCUUCUUCAUACAUCCAUCACAUCUGAAAUCCACUGCUGGUAGAUGAAAAAAAUGAGAGGUUCAAAGGGUUUACUGAAACCGGAACAAGCACAACACACAAGAAAGGGCAGCAUAGAUGUGAUGUUUGUAAAGGAUAUGGACACUGAUGGUACACAUGUAAAGAUGGUAACCCAGAUGACAAAGCCGCCCUACUAGCUGAAAGCUCAUGCAGGGGGCCUCCAAAAAGAAUAAGAAGAAAACAAAUGAAGCCACUCAAGAAUCAGUUGAGAAUAGUCUUGUACUUGCUAUCUCAGGACCUACACCCAUGUAUUUUCCUCCUAGCCAAGGAUGCUCCACUAAAUUGAGCUCAGGGAAAACUGAAAAGACAGCAUGUGGCUCAAGCCAAGCUGAUGCUCCCUCCACUGGGUUCCCUUUGGCAAUUUCCAGUGAAACACCACCACCUGCUCCCUCCCAACCAACAGGGAAGAGAAAGAGAGAAGGGAAGGCAAAAGCAAAAAAGACAAAGGCUGCAGUCACAAGUAAGAAGCAAUCUAUGGUGCCAGUGCCACCUCAAAGUCCUGCAAUGUGCACCAGAUGCAAGACUCCAGAAAGCCCUGCAAUAUCCACUAGAAGCAAGCGAAAAUUCUGGAUUGAAUAUUCAGCUAUUCCCACCUUUUGCUGUUUCUGUCAUGAGAGUUGAAUGAUCUGUGAGGGCAAAGCCAUGCUCAUUUUGUGUUGAGAAACUUGAUACUCAUGUGGCCUAUCUAGAACUCUUAUUUUGCUCUGUAUGGCAUGGUUAUGUGAUCUUUUGUAAUGAGAAAUUUGGUACUCAUGUGGUCUGUAUGGUGUGGUGAAAAAUAUAAACUCAUUUGUAUGAGAAUCCUUUGGAUCAUGUUUCAUGAUUAAUAUGACAUGCAUUUGGUCUU